CAUAGUGUUUGAGCACUAUUUACAAUUCUUAUUUUGAUUUAGGCAUUUUAGUUGUGUCCUAUUUCCUUUCUUCAUCGUCUUAACAGGGAAUCCCUUUUUCUUCUUUCUCAUUUCCCUCUUUCCCUGCCAUUUUCACAUUAUUAGUACCUUAAAGAUUCAACCUUUAGCGUAUGGCCGACUCUUAUUGGAGGUACACUGAUCCGCGCCAGCCGCCUUCCGCCAUCCCCGCCAAGCGCUCUCGUCCCGACUACGAUGGACUGAGCAAUCAUGAUCUCCCUAACUAUUUUCCCCGUGAAGAUGAUAGAGGAACAAUUCGUGUUAGAGAUACCGAAUCUAUUAAUGCAUCAUAUGAUCGAUAUUUGCGCAGCACGCAGCCUUCUUAUGCCGGGGGACAGCCUCCUAGACCGAUCAGUGGUGGAAUACCCAACCGUGCAGUUGAUGAUCCACGUCUUAUGGGCAUUGGGGGCGUUGACCCCGGGGCAACUAUAAAAGAUAGGACUCUUGGAUAUGGAGGUGGAAGACCUGAAGUUCCCCUUCCUCCUGAUGCUUCUAGUACACUAUUUGUAGAGGGUUUACCAGCCAACUGCACAAGGCGGGAAGUAGCUCAUAUAUUUCGUCCUUUUGUAGGCUACAAAGAGGUGAGACUUGUAAGCAAGGAAUCAAGACAUCCCGGAGGAGAACCGCUAGUUCUUUGUUUUGUUGAUUUUGUGAGUCCAGCCCAUGCAGCUACUGCUAUGGAUGCCCUACAAGGUGAGCUUAUUAAUUCCUCUGCAGAUCUUUGUGAUCUGUGUAAUGUCAAAAUGUGUAAGUUGUUAGCUAUAGUAACCUGCUUUAUAGAGUAUGUGGCACUUGACUUUGCAAUAAUGAAGACUUUUCAUAUACUGAAAACAACUAUUGAAUCAGAUAUUUCUUCUAGGCAGUUGAUGCAGAUAUGUUGAAAUGAGUAAAGAAUAUUUAUAAAACAGGGUCAUUGCAUUAAUGACAUGAUUGUGAUUUUCGAUCCACCUUUAUCCGGUAAUAAGUGAGGCACAAGCUAACUUUAAUGGUGGCGUGAGCGCUCGAUGAAUUUUAUAGUAGCUUAGUUAAAUUGGCAAGCACGAUAAGCUCGUAUGAUAGGGACAACAAUACUAUGUUGCUGAAAAUAUUUCGGCCAUCAUCUAUGGCAAGCUCAAUCCUUUUCCUUUCUUUCUGAAAGUUAUUACUUUCACAGGCUAGGCCACAGUUUCACUGUGCGUAUUGGGUCAUGAUGAAUCCUGGUAAGCUUUGCAUGUGUUAAGAUGGGACUUUGGAAUCGAAAGCUUGUUCCUGCUGUCUUUGCUAAUGAGUGAUGAUUCUACAUAUUCAUUUUUUAAGUUACUAGUAAAAUUUAUAUUCAAUAUAUCGACUAUUUAACCGUAUACACGUCUUGAUCUGCCUGAUUCACCGUUCAAAACAAUGGCUAGUUGUAGUUACAGCGUAAAUUGGUCGAGCUCGAUUUUGCAGGUUAUAAAUUUGAUGAGCAUGACCGUGAUUCGGUCAAUUUAAGGUUGCAAUUUGCUCGCUAUCCUGGUGCAAGGUCAGGUGGCGGGCAUCGAGGGAAGCGUUGAACUUGAACUUAUGCGAUUUUGCAGGAAUUGCUGGGUUUGGAAUUGUUGGGAUAGUGAGAGGCGAAAACGACAGUUGCGGUCUCGUGAUUACAAACGCAUAGUUAGGAUUCGUCAAUAUUCGUGUGUUUGAUAUUUAAGUGACCUUAUUCUAGAGAUUGUGUUAGACAGAUGCGAAUUAUAAUAUCUGUUAAUUUCAUACUGCCUGCGUAUUUAUCUUAAUAACAAGUUUCUUGCUCGCUUCA